rnacentral:rRNA from 1 species
CUACGGGAGGCAGCAGUGGGGAAUAUUGGACAAUGGGGGAAACCCUGAUCCAGCAAUGCCGCGUGUGUGAAGAAGGCCUGCGGGUUGUAAAGCACUUUCGGUUGGGAGGACUGCUUCUAGCACUAAUAUUGUUGGAAGUUGACGUUACCUUCAGAAGAAGCACCGGCUAACUCCGUGCCAGCAGCCGCGGUAAUACGGAGGGUGCAAGCGUUAAUCGGAAUUACUGGGCGUAAAGCGCGCGUAGGCGGCUAGAUCAGUCGGGUGUGAAAGCCCCGGGCUUAACCUGGGAACUGCAUCCGAUACUGUCUAGCUCGAGUACAGGAGAGGAGAGUGGAAUUCCACAUGUAGCGGUGAAACACGUAGAUAUGUGGAGGAACACCAAUGGCGAAGGCAGCUCUCUGGCCUGAUACUGACGCUGAGGUGCGAAAGCGUGGGGAGCAAACAAGAUUAGAUACCCUAGUAGUC